GUCACGUUUUGAAGCCUCAAGCCCAAGCCAAUUGCACUGGCAAACUCCACCAUCUCACCGAGUGCAAGGCAGCCGAGUCACUACCCCUCAACCUGGAGAAAACUGUUAAGCACCUCACCAUGGGGCAGGACCGCAACACUCCUCACCACCUCAACUCCCUGCACCCGCAUUUAACA